rnacentral:rRNA from 1 species
AUUGAACGCUGGCGGCAUGCUUUACACAUGCAAGUCGAACGGUAACAGGCCGCAAGGUGCUGACGAGUGGCGAACGGGUGAGUAAUGCAUCGGAACGUGCCCAGUCGUGGGGGAUAACUGCUCGAAAGAGCAGCUAAUACCGCAUACGAUCUAUGGAUGAAAGCGGGGGACCGUAAGGCCUCGCGCGCUUGGAGCGGCCGAUGUCAGAUUUGGUAGUUGGUGGGGUAAAGGCUCACCAAGCCAACGAUCUGGAGCUGGUCUGAGAGGACGACCAGCCACACUGGGACUGAGACACGGCCCAGACUCCUACGGGAGGCAGCAGUGGGGAAUUUUGGACAAUGGGGGCAACCCUGAUCCAGCAAUGCCGCGUGCAGGAAGAAGGCCUUCGGGUUGUAAACUGCUUUUGUACGGAACGAAACGGUCUGGGUUAAUACCCUGGGCUAAUGACGGUACCGUAAGAAUAAGCACCGGCUAACUACGUGCCAGCCGCCGCGGUAAAAC